CGAUCUAGCAACAAGUCUGAGUAAACACACUUCUUUGAACACCCUAAAAUAAUCAUGGAAUGUCACGUGACUUGUGGCGUUAGGUUGUUGCCACAACGUCAUCAAACCGAUAGUUUCACGCAGUAAUCUCCGUGUGGCAAAAGGAAUAUAUAAUUUAAAAUGCCUCAAUUAUAAAAUCCGAAGGAUAUGCUACAGCGCCAAACAGACAGUGGUCAGACGGGUUACGUAAGCGUGUGCACGAGAGGCCCGCGGCAGCGUGUGUGGGUGUCCCGGAGGAAACCGCAGCUGUGCUAACGCCGCGUCAGGCCCAUGUCACAUUCCACACGUCCACCGCCAUGCUGAUCUGCAGUCGGCCCUGGGUGACAGACGGGAGCUUAGAGGAUGACGUGCCCUUUAGAGGUGGCCCGUCUCAUCCGUCGGAUAACCCUUUCGGUCGGACGCAUUGAAGAAUGCACCGGUAUUGCGUCAGCAUCUGAACACUGCCUGCAGUCAGGCUUUUUUAUGGACAAUGGGGCAGAGGCAGUUAGAAGCUCCGCCUUACCAGGGGAUACAACCGGGGCCUCGGCUAGCGUUCACCGAUUGUAUCUUUUUCGCUGUUCGUCCUACUGGCCACUGAACGGAAAGUCUCUGUUUUGUAGCUAAUGUUCGGCAUGUAUUACCGAAUGCUUUGGUUUCCACUUAACACGUCUACUAUUGGGAAGUUUACAAAUCAGAGCAGUCAUAGUUGCCCCAGUCAGAAAAGAGGUAGUCUGACCAGCCACAUAAGAUGACAAAGUAAUAUUAUGAGCAGGGUCUAGCAGCCUUUAUUUAUUUACUUUUAUUUUGUUGUGCUUUCUCUGUUCCCUGAUUGCCCAAUCAAAAGAAGUCCAGAUUCUGCCAAAAUGUUCUGCCACUGGUUAUAUAAAUAUGUAAAUAUUUGACAGCUGUAUUUGUGAGAUUUGUCACGUUAUGAUAAAUGAUGUCAGUGUUACAUCUAAUUUUUGCAAAUCUAAGCAGACUAGGCAGAGUUGGGAAAAAAGACCAGUUGUUUGAGAUGUUCAGAAGGUGCAAAUUGGAGAGCACUAUCAGCAACAUUUGAAUAUAGCUGGGUAGUGAGCGUAAUGUAAAAUCUAUACUCCCUUGUACAUAACCCUUCUGUACAUGCUACAACAUCUACCCCAGCUGUUGAGCUCAGCCUGCUUAUCCGGGUCACGGCACCAAUAAAAUUACUCCUCCAAUGCACAC
ensembl:lncRNA